rnacentral:rRNA from 1 species
UACGGAGGGUGCAAGCGUUGCUCGGAAUUAUUGGGCGUAAAGGGUAGGUAGGUGGUCUCAUUUGUCUGGGGUGAAAGCCUUGGGCUUAACUCAAGAAGUGCCCCAGAAACGGUGAGACUGGAGUCCUGGAGAGGGUCGUGGAAUUCCCAGUGUAGAGGUGAAAUUCGUAGAUAUUGGGAAGAACACCGGUGGCGAAGGCGGCGACCUGGUCCUUUUACUGACGCUGAGGCGCGAAAGCGUGGGGAGCAAACAGG